rnacentral:lncRNA from 1 species
CCUCAGCGCGCACGGCCGGGCUCAUCACAGCACAUUGCUUCUGAUGAGAACAAACGGGUCCUGCAGGAGAGGUGGAGGGAGUUGGAGGUCGUGCCAAGCCUUUACAGGGAGCGCAGGUUGGAGUCCCCUUACCGACGCCCACACAUCCACAUGCCACGCUCCGCCGUGCAGACACCCAGGCACAGGACGAGCCAACGGAACAUCUGACCAUGAAGUUUGCCAGGCUGUGGAUUCUCCAGCCCUGCAAUCGCAGAAAAUCAUUCUCCAUCCACAUUAAAGCUCAGCCCUCUCCAUCACUGGUGCCCCUGACAACACAGGAAAUGGAUCCCACCCGACGGCAGACUCAGCCUCCACACUGUUUAUCACCACAAUUAUCCCCCAUUCAUUCACAGGCUUAUAAGGGGACAUACUGGGAUCUGCUAACGCACUGGAGGAGAGAAUGGAAGGAAGAAAUGGGAGAAGAGCUCAAUAAACAAAUGAAUAACGUAUUCAUGGAGUUGAUGUACUGACAGCCUGUACGAUAUACAGUAUCUGUGACAGAGAAUCUGAGUCUUCAUGUUGUAUCAAAGUUUAAUGACCAUAAAACACUUCCAAGAGUCAGUAAAGUCAGUCAGUAAAGUCUAACACUGUAAUGAAGGCAUCAAUGUCAAACAUGUGUUUAUUUUAAUAACAAUAACCCAUACGUAUUUAACUUCCAUUGUCCUUGAAGAAUGGCUGAAUAUUUUCUUGUAGUGUACCUGGGUAGGACUGUGUGGUAGUGGCACACCGUACAUUAUCCUGCAUGAGUUAGUGGAACGAAAGCCUGUUGUGAUUCCAACUCAUGCAUUGUGUUAUGGCAGAAACAUGUCAGUUUCAUUAUCAUAACUGUUCAUAUGGUGUCAUAUCUGCCCUUCCGUUUAUUGACGACCCAGUAAACGGCAUCAUAAAUAACAGUAUGUUGUUGAUGUGUUCAUUUGAACCAGUAAUGAAGUGAGGAAAAUAGCCAUCUACCAACCUUCAAUGACCAGGUGCACUUCACAUCCACCAAUCCCUGAAAGCAAACAUUUUCCAAUAUGAAGGUUUUGACCACAGAUGACACAAACACAUUCCAAACAACCACUUAAUCACUGCCACAUUGAGGAGGGCUCAGGAUCAGGAUUCAACUGGCAUAAUGAAAUCAUAAACAGAUCCCCUCAUCAAAUGGCUCUGUGAGUCGUGUGGUGGUCUGAUGG